CGACCUCAGAGCAGGCGAGACUACCCGCUGAAUUUAAGCAUAUUACUAAGCGGAGGAAAAGAAACUAACAAGGAUUCCCCCAGUAGCGGCGAGCGAACAGGGAAGAGUCCAGCACCGAACCCCGCAGGCUGCCGCCUGUCGUGGCAUGUGGUGUUUGGGAGGGUCCACUACCCCGACGCCUCGCGCCGAGCCCAAGUCCAACUUGAAUGAGGCCACGGCCCGUAGAGGGUGCCAGGCCCGUAGCGGCCGGUGCGAGCGUCGGCGGGACCUCUCCUUCGAGUCGGGUUGCUUGAGAGUGCAGCUCCAAGUGGGUGGUAAACUCCAUCUGAGACUAAAUAUGACCACGAGACCGAUAGCGAACAAGUACCGUGAGGGAAAGUUGAAAAGAACUUUGAAGAGAGAGUUCAAAAGUACGUGAAACCGUUCUGGGGUAAACGUGAGAAGUCCGAAAGGUCGAACGGGUGAGAUUCACGCCCAUCCGGCCACUGGCCUCCGCCCUCGGCAGAUGGGGCCGGCCGCCCGCGCGGAGCAAUCCGCGGCGGGGUCGUGUCCGGUUGCCUUUCCACUCGCCGCGGGGUGGGGCCGUUCCGGUGUGCGGUGGGCCGCACUUCUCCCCUAGUAGGACGUCGCGACCCGCUGGGUGCCGGCCUACGGCCCGGGUGCGCAGCCUGUCCUUCCGCGGGCCUCGGUUCGCGUCUGUUGGGCAGAGCCCCGGUGUCCUGGCUGGCUGCCCGGCGGUAUAUCUGGAGGAGUCGAUUCGCCCCUUUGGGCGCUCGGGCUCCCGGCAAGCGCGCGCGGUUCUUCCCGGAUGACGGACCUACCUGGCCCGGCCCCGGACCCGCGCCGCUGUUGGCUCGGGAUGCUCUCGGGCGGAAUAAUCGCUCCCGUCAGCGGCGCUUCAGCUUUGGACAAUUUCACGACCCGUCUUGAAACACGGACCAAGGAGUCUAACAUGUGCGCGAGUCAUUGGGCUGUACGAAACCUAAAGGCGUAAUGAAAGUGAAGGUCUCGCCUUGCGCGGGCCGAGGGAGGAUGGGGCUUCCCCGCCCUUCACGGGGCGGCGGCCUCCGCACUCCCGGGGCGUCUCGUCCUCAUUGCGAGGUGAGGCGCACCUAGAGCGUACACGUUGGGACCCGAAAGAUGGUGAACUAUGCCUGGCCAGGACGAAGUCAGGGGAAACCCUGAUGGAGGUCCGUAGCGAUUCUGACGUGCAAAUCGAUCGUCGGAGCUGGGUAUAGGGGCGAAAGACUAAUCGAACCAUCUAGUAGCUGGUUCCCUCCGAAGUUUCCCUCAGGAUAGCUGGUGCUCGUACGAGUCUCAUCCGGUAAAGCGAAUGAUUAGAGGCCUUGGGGCCGAAACGACCUCAACCUAUUCUCAAACUUUAAGGGGAGUUGGAAUGCCGGAAAAUGGAAAAAAUUCACAUUUUCAGUUUUUAACCUUAUAACUUAAUUUGAAAUUUUCUGCUUAAAAUGGUGCAAAAUUUGUUAAGAAAUUCCAAUUGGAAGUAUUUUUAUUUAAUUUUUCAAAAUUACAUGUGCGCCCAGCAAAGUUACCCAUCUUGUGAUUUGUACACAUUUAAAUCUUCGCAUUUCCGAAAACAUUACAUAUAGAAGGCUGUGGAUUUCACUCUUCAGUUGUAGAAUCUUUGAUCCUUCCAUAGGUACCAUUGUUUUUACGACUAGCUGUGUUUAUUGUUCAGUUUUUGAUCUGUGAGUGUUUGUUUUGAGCCUCGAGUUUAGUUUGUCGCUCAUUUGGAGUUUGUUAUCUGUCUUGUUUUGACUUUCAGUGGUGAGUGCGUAGUUUCUACGAUGCCUAGGAGUGCAUCAUUAUUUAAAAAGCGAAAGUUUCGCGGUAAUAGAUUUACAAAUAACGUUUGUUCAAGUGAUUCUGCUUCAGCACCUGUUGAUGCUGGUGAAAGUUCUGACGUUUGUACAGCUGAGAUGUGUGAAGGAGACACGCCCACCAGUGCAUCAAAAAAGAAGUUAUCAAACUGUGCAAGUGAAAUUACAGAUGAAGCUUCUAAUGAACAAUAUGUUUUAGUCGACUUUCCUGUUUUUACUGAGUUUAUGAAGAAAUGUUUGUGUUGUAAUCUUUGUGGAGGUUCUUUUGAUAUGAACAUAACAAAAUCUAUAGGACUUUCCUGCAAAAUUGCUAUAGUUUGUGCCAGUUGUGAAAAUGAGACCUGUUUUUGGAGCUCUAAAACAUGCAGUAGCAAUUUGUUUGAGAGUAAUAUCAGGCUAAUGUAUGCAAUGAGAGCAAUUGGUAAAGGACAUACUGCUGCUCAAACAUUUUGUGCCAUAAUGAAUCUUCCACCUCCACCUGCUAAAAUUGACAAUUACACUGAAGUGAUAGGAGAUGCUGUUCAGUCUGUAGCAGAUUUAUCAAUGAAAGCUGCUGCCAGUGAAGCAAAAUAUAUAAAUGAAGGAAACCCAGAUAUCCCUGUUGCUUUUGAUGGAACCUGGCAGAAAAGGGGUCACACAUCCAAAAAUGCUGUUGCUAC